GGAUCAAGACAUCUUCAUUUGCCAAUUCAGCUGUUCAAUUUUGCCAAGAGCAGCUAUGGUAAUGCAUCUGUAAAGUUGUUCAUAUAUUCUAACUUCCAGCAUUUUUCCUUUGUUGCACUUUUUGACAGUCUGGAGGAGCAUGGACUGACCCAGGCUGCACACAACACUGCCUUUGUCGAGGUGGGCUUGCAGAGUGUUCCGAAUUCCAGUGUGGAGAGAACGAAGAAUGCGAAAUCAGGAACGGUUUUCCAAGCUGUUACUGCAGAGAUGGCUACACCUCUCUCGGAGAUGCCUGCUUCAGAGCUCCUGGGUAUUGCCAGAUCUGGGGUGACCCCCAUUAUGUGACCUUUGACGAUAAGAAAUAUAACUUCCAGGGUGAUUGUGACUACACGCUGGUCAGAGAUUGCCAGAAUUCCAGUGACUACCACCUGUGGUCCAACAAUGAACGGCUGCGCCCAUCUGACAGUGUUUCUUACCUGAGGGAAGUGGUACUUGACCUGAGCGAUAGAAGAUACGCUCUGAUCAAGGGCUUCCAUGUCAGAGUGAAUGGAAGAGAUGUCUCUGAAAACCUGCCUUACAUGGAUGAGCAAGUGUGGAUCUACAGGGAUGUGACAUCCAUGAAUCUGGUAACAGAUUUCUUAUGGGUUAGCUACGAUGGAU